rnacentral:rRNA from 1 species
GCGUUCUGUAAGCCUGUGAAGGUGGCCUGUGAGGGUUGCUGGAGGUAUCAGAAGUGCGAAUGCUGACAUAAGUAACGAUAAAGCGGGUGAAAAGCCCGCUCGCCGGAAGACCAAGGGUUCCUGUCCAACGUUAAUCGGGGCAGGGUGAGUCGACCCCUAAGGCGAGGCCGAAAGGCGUAGUCGAUGGGAAACAGGUUAAUAUUCCUGUACUUGGUGUUACUGCGAAGGGGGGACGGAGAAGGCUAUGUUGGCCGGGCGACGGUUGUCCCGGUUUAAGCGUGUAGGCUGGUUUUCCAGGCAAAUCCGGAAAACCAAGGCUGAGGCGUGAUGACGAGGCACUACGGUGCUGAAGCGACAAAUGCCCUGCUUCCAGGAAAAGCCUCUAAGCAUCAGGUAACAUCAAAUCGUACCCCAAACCGACACAGGUGGUCAGGUAGAGAAUACCAAGGCGCUUGAGAGAACUCGGGUGAAGGAACUAGGCAAAAUGGUGCCGUAACUUCGGGAGAAGGCACGCUGAUAUGUAGGUGAAGCGACUUGCUCGUGGAGCUGAAAUCAGUCGAAGAUACCAGCUGGCUGCAACUGUUUAUUAAAAACACAGCACUGUGCAAACACGAAAGUGGACGUAUACGGUGUGACGCCUGCCCGGUGCCGGAAGGUUAAUUGAUGGGGUUAGCGGCAACGCGAAGCUCUUGAUCGAAGCCCCGGUAAACGGCGGCCGUAACUAUAACGGUCCUAAGGUAGCGAAAUUCCUUGUCGGGUAAGUUCCGACCUGCACGAAUGGCGUAAUGAUGGCCAGGCUGUCUCCACCCGAGACUCAGUGAAAUUGAACUCGCUGUGAAGAUGCAGUGUACCCGCGGCAAGACGGAAAGACCCCGUGAACCUUUACUAUAGCUUGACACUGAACAUUGAGCCUUGAUGUGUAGGAUAGGUGGGAGGCUUUGAAGUGUGGACGCCAGUCUGCAUGGAGCCGACCUUGAAAUACCACCCUUUAAUGUUUGAUGUUCUAACGUUGGCCCGUAAUCCGGGUUGCGGACAGUGUCUGGUGGGUAGUUUGACUGGGGCGGUCUCCUCCUAAAGAGUAACGGAGGAGCACGAAGGUUGGCUAAUCCUGGUCGGACAUCAGGAGGUUAGUGCAAUGGCAUAAGCCAGCUUGACUGCGAGCGUGACGGCGCGAGCAGGUGCGAAAGCAGGUCAUAGUGAUCCGGUGGUUCUGAAUGGAAGGGCCAUCGCUCAACGGAUAAAAGGUACUCCGGGGAUAACAGGCUGAUACCGCCCAAGAGUUCAUAUCGACGGCGGUGUUUGGCACCUCGAUGUCGGCUCAUCACAUCCUGGGGCUGAAGUAGGUCCCAAGGGUAUGGCUGUUCGCCAUUUAAAGUGGUACGCGAGCUGGGUUUAGAACGUCGUGAGACAGUUCGGUCCCUAUCUGCCGUGGGCGCUGGAGAACUGAGGGGGGCUGCUCCUAGUACGAGAGGACCGGAGUGGACGCAUCACUGGUGUUCGGGUUGUCAUGCCAAUGGCACUGCCCGGUAGCUAAAUGCGGAAGAGAUAAGUGCUGAAAGCAUCUAAGCACGAAACUUGC